AUGGCGAGCGCGGCGACGUCGAAGAAGGCGGCGAACCGGCUGGUGGUGGAGGAGGCCACCACCAACGACGACAACUCCGUGUGCAACCUCCACCCUGCCACCAUGGAGAAGCUCUCCAUAUUCCAGGGCGACAUCGUGCUGCUCAAGGGCAAGCGCCGCCACAACACCAUCUGCAUGGCACUGGCCGACGACACCUGCGAGGGGCACAAGCUGAGGAUCAACAAGGUGGCCCGCUCCAACCUGCGCGUGCGCAUCGCCGACGUCGUGUCGGUGCACCUGUGCCACGACGCCAAGUUCUGCAAGCGCGUGCACAUCCUCCCUCUGGACGACACUGUCGAGGGCAUAACGGGCAACCUCUUCGACGCCUACCUCAAGCCCUACUUCGUGGACGCCUUCCGCCCGGUCCACAAGGGCGACCUCUUCCUGGUGCGUGGUGGCAUGCGGAGCGUCGAGUUCAAGGUCAUGGAGAUCGACCCCGCGGCGGACUACUGCGUCGUGGCGCCCGACACGGAGAUAUUCUGCGAGGGCGAGCCCGUCAAGCGGGAGGACGAGGAGAGGCUGGACGAUGUCGGCUACGACGACGUGGGUGGCAUGGGGAAACCAUUGACUUUGAUCAGGGAGCUCGUCGAGUUGCCACUCAGGCAUCCGCAGCUUUUCAAGUCCAUUGGCGUCAAGCCUCCCAAGGGCAUCCUCCUCUACGGCCCUCCCGGGUCGGGCAAGACGCUGAUCGCCCAGGCGGUGGCCAACGAGACAGGCGCCUUCUUCUUCCUCAUCAACGGCCCCGAGAUAAUGUCAAAGAUGGCCGGAGAGAGCGAGAGGAACCUGAGGAAGGCCUUCGAGGAGGCCGAGAAGAACGCGCCCUCCAUCAUCUUCAUCGACGAGAUAGACUCCAUCGCUCCCAACAGAGAGAAGACUCACGGCGAGGUCGAGAGGCGCAUCGUCUCCCAGUUGCUGACUCUGAUGGACGGCAUGAAAGCUCGCGCGCACGUCAUUGUCAUGGGCGCCACAAACCGUCCCAACAGCAUCGACCCCGCCUUGAGGCGCUUCGGGAGGUUCGAUCGUGAGAUCGACAUUGGCGUGCCGGACGAGGUCGGGCGUCUCGAAGUGCUCCGCAUCCAUACCAAAAACAUGAAGCUGGACGAGGACGUCAACCUUGAGGUGGUUGCCAAGGAUACGCACGGCUACGUCGGCGCCGACUUGGCCGCGCUCUGCACCGAGGCGGCGCUGCAGUGCAUCAGGGAGAAGACGGACGUGAUCGACUUAGAGGACGAUACCAUUGAUGCCGAGAUCUUGAACUCCAUGGCCAUCACCAAUGACCACCUUAAGACGGCUCUCGUCGGCACCAACCCGUCUGCGCUACGUGAGACCAUUGUCGAGGUGCCCAACGUCACAUGGAAUGAUAUCGGCGGCCUCGACGGCGUCAAGAGGAAGCUGCAAGAGACCGUUCAGUACCCGGUGGAGCACCCGGAGAAAUUCGAGAAGUUCGGCAUGUCACCGUCCAAGGGCGUCCUCUUAUACGGGCCACCGGGAUGUGGCAAGACCUUGUUGGCGAAGGCGAUCGCCAACGAGUGCCAGGCCAACUUCAUCAGCAUCAAGGGGCCAGAGCUGCUCACCAUGUGGUUCGGCGAGAGCGAGGCCAACGUGCGCGAGAUCUUCGACAAGGCGCGUCAGUCUGCGCCGUGCGUGCUCUUCUUCGACGAGCUCGACUCCAUUGCUACCCAAAGGGGCGGCAGAGUGGGCGACGCCGGUGGCGCGGCGGACAGGGUCCUGAACCAGCUGCUCACUGAGAUGGACGGCAUGAACGCCAAGAAGACUGUCUUCAUCAUCGGCGCCACCAAUAGGCCGGACAUAAUUGACUCGGCGUUGCUCCGUCCCGGCCGCCUGGACCAGCUUAUCUACAUCCCCUUGCCGGACGAGGCCUCGCGGCACCAAAUCUUCAAGGCCUGCCUUCGGAAGUCUCCCGUGGCCAAGGACGUCGACCUCGGUGCACUCGCUAGGUUCACCGCCGGCUUCAGCGGCGCCGAUAUCACGGAGAUCUGUCAGAGGGCGUGCAAGUACGCCAUCAGAGAAGACAUUGAAAAAGACAUGGAGAGGCAGAGGAUGGGGAAAGACACCAUGGAGGUGGACGGCGGUCAGGAAGACGAGGUGGCUCAGAUUAAGGCGUCUCACUUCGAGGAGUCGAUGAGGUACGCGAGGCGGAGCGUGAGCGAUGCUGACAUCAGGAAGUACCAGGCGUUCGCGCAGACGCUGCAACAGUCUAGGGGGUUCGGCACCGAGUUCCGCUUCCCAGCACAGCCACAGGCGGCAGAAGCUGCCGUCGACACCUCCGCGGCAGCUGAUGAGGAUGAAGACGAUCUGUACAAGUGA
rnacentral:rRNA from 1 species